rnacentral:lncRNA from 1 species
AGAAAUAACGCUUUUUUAUCCUUAAGAAAUAGAUAUUAGGAUUAAAAUUCAUUUUUUAAAACAUAAUCAUGAUUUGUGGUAAGUUAAGUUUUGAGUUUAACACAUCUAUAUUGAUAUUGUUAAAAUAUCUAUUUGUUUUUUAUUAUUAUUUCUGUUUUCUUAUUGUUUAAAAUGGGCAUUCUACAUUUGGAAAUCGACGAUACAUCCAGGUAUAGCUUGACUACAUCUCUUAUAUGAAGAUUGUUUUUUUCACCUGGAGUGACCUUUUACUCAAUGUUCAUUAUUCACGCCAAGUAUUUGACAUAUUUUCAAAGCAUAUGUUAUUUUCAUGUGAUUAUCAAUAUGUUCUUAUAUUAACCUGUUCUGAUAUGUGAACACCUACAAUUACAAUUAGAAAUUCGGAUAGGGUCUGAAUGAAGCAUAUAAUUAUAAAAACAUUAGUACUGGCGUCAAUUGAAUUGUUACAAACUCAUCAUAUAUAAUACCAGGAUUAAAAUUUUGUAAGUCAUAGUGCCGCUCAAAUCCGAAAGGAAAAACAAGCCAAAUAAAGAGCGAAAUUGAAGAACAUUAAUGGCAAAAAAUUCCUAAAGAUUUUGCCAAAUAAUGCUACGGUAAUCUAUUCAUUGGGUAGAAAAUCCUUAGUAUUUCCAAGAAUUAUCAUACCUUUACAAUUUCUUUAAUUUAUAAUCAUAAAUUUGUAGAGUCGGCAAAAGUUGUGUUUACUGAAAUUUCACAGAAACAAAUUAUUUCAGAUAAAACUAUUAUGUCUGUUUGGUUUGUUCACACAUCCUUGCCAAUAUAAUGGUAUGGUAUGCGUUUGUUAUACUAGUGAGAGGUUUAGCGAGCUAUGAAACCAGGUUAAAUUCGUCAUUUUCUAUAUAAAAAAAAGGCUGUACCAAGUCAUGAAUAUGACAUUUGUUAUCCAUUCAUUUGAUGUGUUAGAGUUUUUUUAUUUGCCAUUUGUUAAGGGAAAAAGUUGUCCUCGGAGUUCGUUUUUUCUUUUCUCAUUUCACUUUUUAUUCAAGACAUAUAAACACUAUCAGAGUGGUGGAAACCUUUUUUUUAAGGAAUGGUAUAAUGAUUAUUUAAAACGUGAUAGUUUUUUGUUCCUGUUAGUACUAAUUACACAAUGUAAUUAGAACUAUAAAUGUAGUUUAUAAAGUUUUACCAUUUGUAUUUAUGAUAGGUUUCAUUCCCUUAAAAUGUUUACCUUAUAACUAGUUUUACUGUAAUAUAUUUUAGGUUAAACAAUGUACUCAUGAAUAAGUUAGAUGUUUUGGCCUUCUUAAAAAAAAAUUAUUCUAGCGUCAUUUAUGAGUCUUUUGUAGUUGAAACGAGCUUUAAUGCGAUCUAAAUUAUAUGCCUAGUAUAUAGAAUAAGUUUAUUUAAGUAUUCUCUUCCGUUUACUUUAGUAUUUUUCCGUUGUCCGUUGGAAGUCCGGAUUUUUUCAAUAUUUCUGUAAAUACCACUUCUAAGUGGACAGUGUUUAUAAUACGGUAUUCCCUUUUCAUAAGUAGCUAGUGUAUCAUUGGUUUAUAAAGUACUUCUUAUUGGUAGUAAUGUAUGUUAUAUCAAAAUAUCAAAAUGCAAAAACAGGUUUGCUCUUUGAGCUGGCUUGUGGGAGUUUAACUUCAAAUGAUAAUUCACAGAUAACAACGUUUAUGUUCGCUUAGGUUUCCAAGUGGAGGGUGAUAUACUUACCCCUCUGAAGCAUCUGAGAUUACCCCCAGUUUUAAGUAGUGUACGUGUUGUUCCGUCUUUAGUUUUCCAUGUUGUGUUUGUAUACUGUUGUAAGUCUUUUGAUCUUUUUUUUUCUUUUUCGUCAUGACGUUUAUUUGCUAUUUUAAGUUUGAACGUCCUUUUGGUAUAUUUUGCCUCUCUCUUUCAGGUAACUGCCUGUUGGAUAUGGAUGAAACCAAUGUCCAAUUGCAGUCAAUAGACGUAGAGAAUAAGAUGGACCAGAUAGGUAAACAUGAUCAAUAACAAAAUAGUAAACACGAUCAACCCGUAAAAGCCAACAUAAAUAAUUGUUUACCAAAAACGAUAAACAUUAGCUUUAACGAUAUUCAUUUCGACAACAACUACAACAAUCUGAAUACUAUGGCGCCAAUAGUGCCUAUUUAAAUUCAUAUUCAUUCCUUAUGAGGAUUAUGAACAGAUUAUAUUCAGAUUCAAUUUUGUAUCGAAGUCAUUAACUUCGACUCUCACUUUGUUCAUACAUCUCAUAUCAGUAAUCCAUACACAUUUUCUUGGUGUGAAUAUAUCUCUUUCAAAAGACAACUCCUGCACAAUAAUUGAAAACUAACAGACAAUACUCCUAAUUGUCAAUUUUCCUUUUGUUGCUUCUUGGCCGUAUCGUACAUCUUAAAUUGUCUAUUGUGCUCACGCAAAUAUGACAACUAAUCGAAUACCCUAAAAAAAAAGAAUCAUAUUAAAAAAAACAACCAUUUGAUUUUCUGGGGGGGGGGGGGGGGGGGGGCUAUGGUUUUUUUGGAAAAAAAGUUUGUUUCCAUUUUUUGGAGAAAAAAAAUAAUUUGUUUUUGAUUCUGAAAAAAAAAAUUGUUUGUUUCACCUUCAGCUGCCACUAUAUGUAAUGCUAAAAUUGAAAGAAAAAAAUUGUUUUCAACUUGUCGCGAAAAAAAAAAAUUUGUCCAGAAAAAAAAACCGUAGCCCCCCCAGAAAAUCAAAUGGUUGCUGCCUUAUCGAUGUCAAACGGUCUUAUACAUACUCGAAAACAUUGAGGCUGAUAAAGCAGUGCACAAAGGUGUGAUAUCUCAUAUGCAUUCUAUGAAUGUAUGUAUUUUGUAUGCAUUUUGUCGUCAUUUAUAAAUUUGCUUUGGUGUUAAAACUUAUGACCUUUACUGUUAAAGAUAAGCAGUUUAAUUACUGCAUCGUCUUAAUGUUUCCCUUUUGAAUAUAAGUAUUCAUUACAAUGUGAUACAUUAUAAAGAAAACAUACAUCAGGAAAUUUGUAUGGUGCUAGUCACGAGUCUAAUUAAAAUGUAUCUGGGUCUUAUAAAAUUAUUUUAAAGUAUAUCAAUUACCUGAUAAAAUGAAGAAUUGCUAUGCGAUGCAUUAUUCAUGAGUCAAACCGAUUAAUUAUUUAAUGUUUGAUUUCUUCACGAUUGCUCUCUGAAGAUAUACAGUGUCUUUAGAAACACUGUAGGUCAUCAAACGGCCUUCACAAAUUAACACACCACACAGUAUUGCAAUCUAUCAAAGGCCUUGACAAUGACAAAAUGUUUAACAAUUCUAACGAGAAACGAUAAAGGUAUCAGCGUGAUUUAUGUCAAAACAAUAAACGAAAACAGUUGUAACAGAUAGUAACAAACGACAAUUACUUAUUUGUAGGCUCCUGACUUAGGACAGGCACAUACAGAAUGAAGCGGUUAAAAUAAUGUAUGUGCUUCGUUCGUUUGAUGCUUUGUAUCUAUAUUUCAAAUUUCGAGAAUUAUUUUCCUGACGAAAAGAAAUCCAUAUCCCAAAAAAAUGGGUAAUUUUUCUAGCAUGCUGAAAUUCAUGUCCACUUGUAUAUAAUUUAUGGAAUAAGUGGCACGCAUUUAUCCAUCACAUAUGUCAUUCCAUAAGAUUGUGAUUUAACAUAACAGGGCGAAAAUUUAAAAUAAUAUCGUUAAUUUCUUUGCUUUACUUUAUUCUUUUGUUCUUAUACAACCCAACUGUCUAAACGUCUGUUUUAAUUUUCUAUGGCAAUGACACAUUCUCUAGGUGUAUUUCUACGAUUCAGAUUUAACAUAUGGUAUAAUUUGAUGUUUGAAUAUAUCUAAUUUAAUUUUGAAUAUCUAAAAUACGGUCUUAUUUGAUUUUUAGAAGUAACUUGAUGAUAAACGUUUUGAGAGUGUCUACUAGCUGCUACAACUGUUGAACUGAAUAGUGUAAUUUGUUUAUCCAGAUGUUGGCUGAAUCAAAUUGUAGAACAUCGUUCUGGGUCGUAAAUCUUGGAAUUUCUAACAAAGAUUUGAAAAACAACACAAUACUUACACCAAUGGAAGCCGAAUUGCCAAAUCACUUAUGAGUAUGACAAACUACGCUAUAAUCGACCGC